rnacentral:rRNA from 1 species
GACAGAGGGUGCAAACGUUGUUCGGAAUUACUGGGCGUAAAGCGAGUGUAGGCGGUUCGGUAAGUCGGAUGUGAAAGCCCCGGGCUUAACCUGGGAACUGCAUUCGAGACUGCAUUGCUAGAGUAUGGGAGAGGGAAGUGGAAUUUCCGGUGUAGCGGUGAAAUGCGUAGAUAUCGGAAGGAACAUCAGUGGCGAAAGCGACUUCCUGGACCAAUACUGACGCUCAUGUGCGAAAGCGUGGGGAGCAAACAGG